UGCCCCUCUCCCCUGCCCGUGUGCUCUCUAAAAUAAAAAUAAAGUAUUUUUCAUACACACAGCAAUAAACAACAUUAAGUGGUGACAGGAACAUAGGAGAUGAAGAACCAAACUAUCUAGUGUGGCCUCAACUCUCUAGUAGUUGUGUCACCUUGAACAAAGGUCUCAGCAGCAGUUUACACAACUGUAAAAUGGAGAUGAAUAAUGGCUGCCUCUCUCUCUCUCUCCCCGUGCUGUUGUGAAGGUCAAGCAAAAUAAGGAGUGUUUAAAUGUUUUAAAAAUAUAAAAGAGCAUGAAGAUGAAUGAGGGAAUAACCAGUCUUAUCAGUUAAGACAGUUAAAAAUGUCGGUUUGAUCUCUUAACUGAUUUUUACAAUGUUAUGCUCAUGCAGUGAAUGUAUAGUUUAGCCAUCCUGUUCUGUGUGUGACGUUACUCAAUGUUGAGACAGAAAUGGUGACGUGGAAUGCACAUUUACAGACCUUUGGCCCAGAAGCCAUAUUAUAGAAAAAGUCUAACCAGGCAGAAAAUCUCCAAUCAGUCUGUUAUCACAACCAGAAUGCAAGAGAUUAGUGGCCACAGAGAGAAGCAGAAUCAGUUUACAUCCUUUCAGGCAAGAGAAUGAUAUUACUUCACAAGCAAGAAAUCUGAAGCUCCCUGACCUUAAUUUAGAAAGCCUGCAGUUAAUAAUCACAUUAAGGUUGGUUUUACGUGCCAGUUUUUGUUUUCUUUGUUGUUUUUACAAUUUGAGUAUCCUCUGUCAUUAUCAAAAUUAUCUGCUGAAAGGCAUACAUUCACGUUUAAAAUACUUAAUCUGUAAUAAAGGAAGUCUUAUACUUUUGAUAUAUCUGAGUUAAAAUACACUUUGCAUUAAGUUUUUACAAAGGCAAUCACAUUGCUUGUGUUUAUCCAGAGUAGAAUUUAGCAACUUGUUGACUGUGACAAUUAAUACACUGAAAACUCCUUUUUAAAUUGAAGAAUCAAAUGGGUUUUUCAUUGUAAUCUGUCAAUCCCAAUAAAGAAUAUAUAGAACCCACCAAGAGUACACUCUUGCCCCUCCCUGAAAAAAGGUCAAUUGUCUCUUGAAGGAAAGAGAACUAAACCCGAAGCUACAAAGUUAGCAAAACAAAAAAACAAAAAUGGGUCAAGGAACAGAUGUGCAGACCAGGGAGAGUUGGCACAGGUGACUAGGUCAGUAAGAAGAGGUUCUGAUGACAGCAAAUUGAACUUGGGGUUGUCCCCAUAAUUAAAUACUUAACGAAAACAAAUCUAAUUAACGCCAUAAGCCAAAAAGAACUAUAAAUGAUCUUCUCAAGUAUGGUCAACUUUCACUUGACAUUGUACUGAAGGAACUGUAUUAGUUCAACCUACUUUAGCUGCUUCAAUGUAAUUCACUGUGUGUUCACUAAAAUGAGUUAUCUGAGUCUUCUGACACCUGCUCUCUUUUAGAGAGAGAUUUGUGUGUGUUGAAGGGGGGCGGUUAUGAUGUGAAAUGUGUAGUCCAGCUAUGAAAAUGACACAGAAUGAAAAUAACAGAAUGAAAAAAAAUGUACAUGCUGUACUAGAAGAAAAGUUCGUUACAAAGGCAUUUUUUGGUGCCAAAAAAGUUUGGGUUUACUAAAAUAUUUAUUUUCAAGGUACUUUUGGUAUUAUGCAAAUAGAAUACUUGGAGGG